UACGGAGGGUGCAAGCGUUGUCCGGAUUUAUUGGGCGUAAAGAGCUCGUAGGCGGUCUGUUGCGUCCGCUGUGAAAACUCGGGGCUUAACCCCGAGCCUGCAGUGGAUACGGGCAGACUAGAGGUAGGUAGGGGAGAAUGGAAUUCCCGGUGUAGCGGUGAAAUGCGCAGAUAUCGGGAAGAACACCUGUGGCGAAGGCGGCUCACUGGCCGGUACUGACGCUGAGGUGCGAAAGCGUGGGGAGCAAACAGG
rnacentral:rRNA from 1 species